rnacentral:tRNA from 1 species
UCCGGAGUAGCUCAAUGGCGGAGCAAUCGGCUGUUAACCGAGAGGUUGUGGGUUCGAAUCCCACCUCCGGAGCCA